rnacentral:rRNA from 1 species
UACGUAGGGUGCGAGCGUUGUCCGGAAUUACUGGGCGUAAAGAGCUCGUAAGUGGUUUGUCGCGUUGUUCGUGAAAACUCACAGCUCAACUGUGGGCGUGCGGGCGAUACGGGCAGACUGGAGUACUGCAGGGGAGACUGGAAUUCCUGGUGUAGCGGUGGAAUGCGCAGAUAUCAGGAGGAACACCGGUGGCGAAGGCGGGUCUCUGGGCAGUAACUGACGCUGAGGAGCGAAAGCGUGGGGAGCGAACAGG